AGAAUCAACGCUGGCGGCGUGCCUAACACAUGCAAGUCGCACGAGAAAGGGGCUUCGGCUCUGAGUAAAGUGGCGCACGGGUGAGUAACACGUGACUAAUCUACCCUCGAGUGGGGAAUAACUGAGAGAAAUCUUAGCUAAUACCGCAUAACACUUACGAGUCAAAGCAGCAAUGCGCUUGGGGAGGAGGUCGCGGCCGAUUAGCUAGUUGGCGGGGUAACGGCCCACCAAGGCAAUGAUCGGUA
rnacentral:rRNA from 1 species